AACGAACGCUGGCGGCAUGCCUAACACAUGCAAGUCGAACGAGACCUUCGGGUCUAGUGGCGCACGGGUGCGUAACGCGUGGGAACCUGCCCUUAGGUUCGGAAUAACUCCCCGAAAGGGGUGCUAAUACCGGAUAAUGUCUUCGGACCAAAGAUUUAUCGCCUUUGGAUGGGCCCGCGUUGGAUUAGCUAGUUGGUAGGGUAAAAGCCUACCAAGGCGACGAUCCAUAGCUGGUCUGAGAGGAUGAUCAGCCACACUGGGACUGAGACACGGCCCAGACUCCUACGGGAGGCAGCAGUGGGGAAUAUUGGACAAUGGGCGAAAGACUGAUCCAGCAAUGCCGCGUGAGUGAUGAAGGCCUUAGGGUUGUAAAGCUCUUUUACCCGGGAUGAUAAUGACAGUACCGGGAGAAUAAGCACCGGCUAACUCCGUG
rnacentral:rRNA from 1 species